GGUAAGAAAGGAAAGGAGAGGAAAGGAAGGAAAAGAAGCUGACCUGGAUCGUCGAAGAGGAAGGCGUUGACGAUUUUGGCGGAGAAGACACAGAGGACGACAAGGAGAGGAAGCUGCAGGAGACGACACCGGAGGAAAUUGUCUAU